CUGGGUUUGACAUGCACAGGACGACUGCAGAGAUGUGGUUUCUCUUGUGGCCUGUGUGCAGGUGGUGCAUGGCUGUCGUCAGCUCGUGUCGUGAGAUGUUGGGUUAAGUCCCGCAACGAGCGCAACCCUUGUCCUAUGUUGCCAGCGGGUUAUGCCGGGGACUCGUAGGAGACUGCCGGGGUCAACUCGGAGGAAGGUGGGGAUGACGUCAAGUCAUCAUGCCCCUUAUGUCCAGGGCUUCACACAUGCUACAAUGGCCGGUACAAAGGGCUGCGAUGCCGUGAGGUGGAGCGAAUCCUUUCAAAGCCGGUCUCAGUUCGGAUCGGGGUCUGCAACUCGACCCCGUGAAGUCGGAGUCGCUAGUAAUCGCAGAUCAGCAACGCUGCGGUGAAUACGUUCCC
rnacentral:rRNA from 1 species